rnacentral:rRNA from 1 species
AUUGAACGCUGGCGGCAGGCCUAACACAUGCAAGUCGAACGAGAGGCGGACGGGUGAGUAAUGACUGGGCAACUGCCUGAUGGAGGGGGAUAACUACUGGAAACGGUAGCUAAUACCGCAUACCAUCGGAUGUGCCCAGAUGGGAUUAGCUAGUAGGUGGGGUAAAGGCUCACCUAGGCGACGAUCCCUAGCUGGUCUGAGAGGAUGACCAGCCACACUGGAACUGAGACACGGCCCAGACUCCUACGGGAGGCAGCAGUGGGGAAUAUUGCACAAUGGGGGCAAGCCUGAUACAGCCAUGCCGCGUGUGUGAAGAAGGCCUUCGGGUUGUAAAGUACUUUCAGCAGGGAGGCGUUACCCGCAGAAGAAGCACCGGCUAACUCCGUGCCAGCAGCCGCGGUAAUAC